UACGGAGGGUGCAAGCGUUAUCCGGAAUCACUGGGUUUAAAGGGUGCGUAGGCGGAUUAAUAAGUCUGUAGUGAAAGUCUGUUGCUUAACGAUAGAAUUGCUAUGGAUACUGUUAGUCUUGAAUUGAGUUGAGGAUAGCGGAAUGUGGCAUGUAGCGGUGAAAUGCAUAGAUAUGCCAUAGAACACCAAUUGCGAAGGCAGCUAUCUGGGUCAACACUGACGCUCAUGUACGAAAGCGUGGGGAGCAAACGGG
rnacentral:rRNA from 1 species